rnacentral:lncRNA from 1 species
UUAUAUUAUCAUUUUUAGCGCUGUAAUUAUUUUUUAAAAAAAUAAUUAUUUUCUCUUGACCUCCCAUUUAAAUUCUUUAAUUUAUCGUAAAGGACUUCUCAUGUGACGUCACACUGUACGGAACAUAGUUGUUGAACCGUUCCUUGUCGUUUAAUUCGUGUUCCGUGAGAGUUUGACGUUUUCCUCGCUGACUGUGGGAGGAAUGAGAGGCACUUGGCCGGUGGCUGCGAGGUUGACAGGUUGGUGUUGGUGGUUAGUACCGUAAAUGGCGGUUAAUUUCUUCGAAAUUAAUUAUUAUUUCAACUAAGUUUGGAAGUAUAGUAAAAAGUUACCACCACUUGUUUCCUGGAGUACGGGUUUCCUGGAGUAAGGAUGGGAGUACCAUCAGUGGAAGAGGAAUAAAAAAUUAACCGCCGUUUGGAAGAAAACUAACCCUCAUGUGAUGUCGUACCCACCUUGACCUUAUUGCAGCUACCGCCAAGUCAAACUGGGAGUAUGUUUUGGGAACAAGCUUUUUGGGGGACAUUCCAGCUCCUUUUCGUCCUGCCACCUGGGCCUACGGGGGGCAUGGAGGUGCAUCAUAGUGAUGCUCAUUUUCUAGGAUGCAACCGCAACCUCGUUUGGGAACAUUUAGUGAGGAGUUUUAGUAACUAUUGGUAUUUUUUUUUAUAUUUCAGACUAUCUGUUAAAUACACUAUGUUUUUUUUCCAGAUUUAGGUUACCUCUGGUUUUUUUGACAUAUGUAUUUGUAUAUUAGAUUAUUUGGUUCCCAAACUUUGUAUCUACGGUAACUUCUUGUGCACAGGAAUAAGCCUAGAGAAAAUUAGGUUUUUAAUACUUUAUUAUUGCUUUGAUAUUGGUUUAUGUAAUUCGGGUAAAUUUAUUUUGUAACAUUACUUGCUUGUUUCCCAAAUAUUUUAUUGUUAUUCGCUUUAUUCCAUUUGUUCGGAUAAUUUAGGUCAUCGUCAGUAUUUAUCUCAACUUCAUUUCUAUUUCAUUCAUUGUACUUUUAACUUACUUACUUCAUUAGUGUAUUUUCCCUUAGUGAGGCUUGGGCCUAUUUAGUUAUAUUAUUUUCAUCGUUGUCAGUUUCCUUUAGUUGUACGUAGCAGGCGUACUAUAACCAUUUGGUAGAAGACUUAUGUAAUUUUGUACCCUAUAUGUUAGUAAGAGGUACUUAUAUUUAAGUUUGUAACAGAUAACAUUAUUGUUGUUAUCUUUAAAAUAUAUAUAUCUUCUUGUAUAACUUAUGUCAUUUUAGAGUCACAGCAUAAUAUGAACUUGCUUAACUCAGAGAUUGUUAAAAAUCUGGUAGUUAUUUUUAAUAAAUAUGUUUAUUUAUUUUGUA